rnacentral:rRNA from 1 species
AAUACGUUCCCGGGCCUUGUACACACCGCCCUCACACCACGAAAGUCGGCAACACCCGAAGCCGGUGGCCUAACCCUUUUGGGAGGGAGCCGUCGAAGGUGGGGUUGGUGAUUGGGGUG